GUUUGAUCCUGGCUCAGGACGAACGCUGGCGGCGUGCUUAACACAUGCAAGUCGAGCGGAAAGGCCCUUCGGGGUACUCGAGCGGCGAACGGGUGAGUAACACGUGAGUAACCUGCCCCUGACUCUGGGAUAAGCCUGGGAAACCGGGUCUAAUACCGGAUAUGACACUCCUCCGCAUGGUGUGGGUGUGGAAAGUUUUUUCGGUUGGGGAUGGGCUCGCGGCCUAUCAGCUUGUUGGUGGGGUGAUGGCCUACCAAGGCGACGACGGGUAGCCGGCCUGAGAGGGCGACCGGCCACACUGGGACUGAGACACGGCCCAGACUCCUACGGGAGGCAGCAGUGGGGAAUAUUGCGCAAUGGGCGGAAGCCUGACGCAGCGACGCCGCGUGGGGGAUGACGGCCUUCGGGUUGUAAACCUCUUUCAGCAGGGACGAA
rnacentral:rRNA from 1 species